CACGUAGGGCGCAAGCGUUGUCCGGAAUUAUUGGGCGUAAAGAGCUCGUAGGCGGUCUGUUGCGUCCGCUGUGAAAACUCGGGGCUUAACCCCGAGCCUGCAGUGGAUACGGGCAGACUAGAGGUAGGUAGGGGAGAAUGGAAUUCCCGGUGUAGCGGUGAAAUGCGCAGAUAUCGUAAGGAAGACCAGUGGCGAAGGCGGGUCUCUGGACAGUUCCUGACACUGAGGCACGAAGGCCAGGGGAGCAAACGGG
rnacentral:rRNA from 1 species